UGUGUGUCGUAGUUAACGCGUUAAACAGGGCGCCUGGGAAGUACGGCCGCAAGGCUAAAACCCAAAGGAAUUGACGGGGACCCGCACAAGCAGUGGAGCGCCUGGUUUAAUUCGAUGGUCAGCGAAGAACCUCACCUAGGCUUGAACUGUAGCUGCACACUCCCAGAAACGGGAGAAUCCUUCGAGGGUGCUACAGAGGUGCUGCAUGGCUGUCGUCAGCUCGUGUCGUGAGAUGUAGGGUUAAGUCCCACAACGAGCGCAACCCCUAUUCAGUGUUAUAAUUACUCUGAAGACUGCCCUGUCCAAACGGGGAGGAAGGAGGGGACGACGUCCAGUCAUCAUGUCCCUUAUGUCUAGGGCUACGCAGACGCUACAAUGGCCGGUACAAUGGGUUGCCAAACCGCGAGGUGGAGCCAAUCCCAUCAAAGCCGGUCCCAGUUCGGAUUGCAGUCUGCAACUCGACUGCAUGAAGUUGGAAUUGCUAGUAAUCGCGAAUCAGCACGUCGCGGUGAUACGUUCUCGGGUCUUGUACACACCGCCCGUCAGGGCACGGGAGUCGCUCUUGCUCGAAGU
rnacentral:rRNA from 1 species